rnacentral:rRNA from 1 species
UACGGAGGGGGCUAGCGUUGUUCGGAAUUACUGGGCGUAAAGCGUACGUAGGCGGCUUUGUAAGUUAGAGGUGAAAGCCCGGGGCUCAACUCCGGAAUUGCCUUUAAGACUGCAUCGCUUGAAUCAUGGAGAGGUGAGUGGAAUUCCGAGUGUAGAGGUGAAAUUCGUAGAUAUUCGGAAGAACACCAGUGGCGAAGGCGACUCACUGGACAUGUAUUGACGCUGAGGUACGAAAGCGCGGGGAGCAAACAGG